UGCAUUCUGAAAAUUUGCUGAAGGUUAGUAUCCUCACCACAGGUAUUUUGACCAUGCUACUUAUUUUUGCCUUUUAGCAACUGGACAAAAUACAAGAAAAAAUGGAAAACAUGCAUGAAUAAAUUAACCCUUGGUUUUACUGGAUGGGUAUAUAUCUUCCAGGAGUAUUCAUAUAAUCUAUUAGCAUUAUAUUAAAAUUUUAAUAUUUCAGAAUUUAGAUUCAUUGUUCAGUUUUUGUCUGGAGCACUGAUAGGGGAAACUAUUGCUAGGUAUUUAUGGGCACUAUCCACACAUUGGGAGGAUGGCAACUACCAAAUUUCACAAAUGAGACAGCAGCUGUCAUCAGUGCCCUUGGGGAUGCCAUGCUAACAAUAGUAAAUAAGGUGCCCAUUGCAAAAAGGAACAUUAUCACUUUGAAUUCAGCACUGAAACACUAUGAACAUUUCCUUAGAGAUUGUUCCCUAGAUGAGCAUAUACUCAGAAAACAAGCCUAAAAGGAAUGAACCAGGUAGAGCUUAUUUUCAGGACCUGUCCUAGAGCCAUGGCCUUAGGACCAUCCCUCUUUUCUGAUACACAUGCUCAUGUUGCUUCCCAACCUUCAGCCCCCAGAACAUCCACAAUCUGUAUCUCUUACAAUGCCUCUGCUCUGUCUUGUGCCUUCCCUAUCCAGUGCUCCUACUUAAAAGGCAAGCUGAAAAAGCUUGUUUUUAUAAACAUAAGGAAGUCAACAUGUUGAUUCAGAUGUGACUAUUUGCUGUAGCCUUCUAAAGUCAAUGUCUUAAUAUUUUUAAUCUAUUCAUAACUAGAAUGUGAGAAUCUUAGGCCAUUUUAGAAGAGCAAGGUCAUAUGGCAAGAAUAAACAAUGACAACAAACAAUGGAAUAAAUAUUUAGGAACAGAUAGAGCCUCUCCUCUGGUUUCUUACACAAUCUGUCAUCAGUACUUUCCGUAACACCUCAAAAAGAUCUUUUGGCAUAGCUUCUGUCCCCAUUCUUUUCAAGAUAUCUGGUUCUGCUUCAUGUUGUCUCUUGCUGGAAUGCUGGCAAUGGCCCCAAUUGGGCUAUCAUCCUCCAAUCCAAUAUGCACAUUGUCAUCAGUCUGAUCAUGACAUUCCUAUGGCUACCUACGCACCUAAGAUUAAGCCUUCAGCAAGGUGUUAAAAACCCGUCACUUUUAAGGAAUCACACAACUCUCCAACAUCAAACGUGUCCCUAAAUCCUGUCCUCUAGCCAUGAAGCAAAUGUAAUUAUCACUUUGAAUAAAACACUUUACUUAUUUACACUGUUUCUUCUGACUGGUGAAUUUCUAUUCACUCUUCUAGCCCCAAUUCUAAUGCUACCAUGUAAGGACACCCUGAUUCCCUC
rnacentral:lncRNA from 1 species